UACGAAGGGGGCUAGCGUUGUUCGGAUUUACUGGGCGUAAAGCGCACGUAGGCGGAUAUUUAAGUCAGGGGUGAAAUCCCAGAGCUCAACUCUGGAACUGCCUUUGAUACUGGGUAUCUUGAGUAUGGAAGAGGUAAGUGGAAUUGCGAGUGUAGAGGUGAAAUUCGUAGAUAUUCGCAGGAACACCAGUGGCGAAGGCGGCUUACUGGUCCAUAACUGACGCUGAGGUGGCGAAAGCGUGGGGAGCAACAGG
rnacentral:rRNA from 1 species